rnacentral:rRNA from 1 species
AUUGAACGCUGGCGGCAGGCUUAACACAUGCAAGUCGUGCGGAGUGAUGGUGCUUGCACUAUCACUUAGCGGCGGACGGGUGAGUAAUGCUUAGGAAUCUGCCUAUUAGUGGGGGACAACAUUUCGAAAGGAAUGCUAAUACCGCAUACGUCCUACGGGAGAAAGCAGGGGAUCUUCGGACCUUGCGCUAAUAGAUGAGCCUAAGUCGAAUUAGCUAGUUGUUGGGGUAAAGGCCUACCAAGGCGACGAUCUGGAGCGGGUCUGAGGGGAUGAUCCGCCACACUGGGACUGAGACACGGACCAGACUCCUACGGGAGGCAGCAGUGGGAAUAUUGGACAAUGGGCGCAAGCCUGAUCCAGCCAUGCCGCGUGUGUGAAGAAGGCCUUAUGGUUGUAAAGCACUUUAAGCGAAGAGGAGGCUACUUUAGUUAAAACCUAGAGAUAGUGGACGUUACUCGCAGAAUAAGCACCGGCUAACUCUGUGCCAGCCGCCGCAGUAAUAC